rnacentral:rRNA from 1 species
AAUCUUCCGCACUGGACGAAAGUCUGCAGGAGCAACGCCGCGUGAGUGAUGUAGGUUGUCGGAUCGUAAAACUCUGUUGUUAGGGAAGAACAAGUAUCGGAGUCACUGCCGCUACCUCGACGGUACCUGCCGUGAAAUCCACGGCUACCUCCGUGCCAGCAGCCGCGGUAAUACGUAGGUGGCAAGCGUUAUCCGGAAUUAUUGGGCGUAACGCGCGCGCAGGCGGUUUCUUAAGUCUGAUGUGAAAGCCCACGGCUCAACCGUGGAGGGUCAUUGGAAACUGGGAAGCUUGAGUGCAGAAGAGGAGAGUGGAAUUCCAUGUGUAGCGGUGAAAUGCGUAGAGAUAUGGAGGAACACCAGUGGCGAAGGCGACUCUCUGGUCUGCAACUGACGCUGAGGCGCGAAAGCGUGGGGAGCGAACA